rnacentral:rRNA from 1 species
UUACAUUGGGGGAUAGCCUUUCGAAAGGGAGAUUAAUACCGCAUAAGACAGUAAAUGGGCAUCCAUUAGCUGUUAAAGAUUUAUCGAUGUAAGCUGGGCAUGCGUCCAAUUAGUUAGUUGGUGAGGUAAUGGCUCACCAAGACGAUGAUUGGUAGGGGAACUGAGAGGUCAAUCCCCCACACUGGCACUGAGAUACGGGCCAGACUCCUACGGGAGGCAGCAGUAGGGAAUAUUGGGCAAUGGGCGCAAGCCUGACCCAGCCAUGCCGCGUGCAGGAAGAAGGCGUUCUGCGUUGUAAACUGCUUUUAUAUAGGAAGAAACGACCCUUGCGAGGGGCAUUGACGGUACUAUAUGAAUAAGCACCGGCUAACUCCGUGCCAGCAGCCGCGGUAAUACGGAGGGUGCAAGCGUUGUCCGGAUUUAUUGGGUUUAAAGGGUGCGCAGGUGGUUUAUUAAGUCAGUGGUGAAAGACGGUCGCUCAACGAUUGCAGUGCCAUUGAUACUGGUAGACUUGAGUAAAGUAGAGGUGGGCGGAAUUGAUAGUGUAGCGGUGAAAUGCAUAGAUAUUAUCAAGAACUCCAAUUGCGAAGGCAGCUCACUUGGCUUUUACUGACACUCAUGCACGAAAGUGUGGGUAUCAAACAGGAUUAGAUACCCUGGUAGUCCACACUGUAAACGAUGAUAACUAGGUGUUGGCCGAAUCUGGUCAGUGCCACAGCGAAAGCGUUAAGUUAUCCACCUGGGGAGUACGCCGGCAACGGUGAAACUCAAAGGAAUUGACGGGGGUCCGCACAAGCGGU